rnacentral:rRNA from 1 species
AACGAACGCUAUCGGUAUGCUUAACACAUGCAAGUCGGACGGACUAAUUAGGGCUUGCUCCAAUUAGUUAGUGGCAGACGGGUGAGUAACACGUGGGAAUCUGCCCAUCAGUACGGAAUAACUUUUAGAAAUAAAAGCUAAUACCGUAUAUUCUCUACAGAGGAAAGAUUUAUCGCUGAUGGAUGAGCCCGCGUCAGAUUAGGUAGUUGGUGAGGUAACGGCUCACCAAGCCGACGAUCUGUAGCUGGUCUGAGAGGAUGAUCAGCCACACUGGGACUGAGACACGGCCCAGACUCCUACGGGAGGCAGCAGUGGGGAAUAUUGGACAAUGGGCGAAAGCCUGAUCCAGCAAUACCGAGUGAGUGAUAAAGGCCCUAGGGUUGUAAAGCUCCUUUAGCAAGGAAGAUAAUGACGUUACUUGCAGAAAAAGCCCCGGCUAACUCCGUG